GACGAACGCUGGCGGCGGGCUUAACACAUGCAAGUCGAACGGAAAGGCCCCCUUGUGGGGUACUCGAGUGGCGAACGGGUGAGUAACACGUGAGUAACCUACCCUUGACUUUGGGAUAACUUCAGGAAACUGGGGCUAAUACCGGAUAGGAGCUCCUGCUGCAUGGUGGGGGUUGGAAAGUUUCGGCGGUUGGGGAUGGACUCGCGGCUUAUCAGCUUGUUGGUGGGGUAGUGGCUCACCAAGGCUUUGACGGGUAGCCGGCCUGAGAGGGUGACCGGCCACAUUGGGACUGAGAUACGGCCCAGACUCCUACGGGAGGCAGCAGUGGGGAAUAUUGCACAAUGGGCGGAAGCCUGAUGCAGCAACGCCGCGUGCGGGAUGACGGCCUUCGGGUUGUAAACCGCUUUCGCCUGUGACGAAGCGUGAGUGACGGUAAUGGGUAAAGAAGCACCGGCUAACUACGUG
rnacentral:rRNA from 1 species